rnacentral:rRNA from 1 species
AGUGAACGCUGGCGGUAGGCCUAACACAUGCAAGUCGAACGGCAACACAGGAGAGCUUGCUCUCUGGGUGGCGAGUGGCGGACGGGUGAGGAAUACAUCGGAAUCUACUCUGUCGUGGGGGAUAACGUAGGGAAACUUACGCUAAUACCGCAUACGACCUACGGGUGAAAGCAGGGGAACUUCGGACCUUGCGCGAUUGAAUGAGCCGAUGGCGGAUUAGCUAGUUGGCGGGGUAAAGGCCCACCAAGGCGACGAUCCGUAGCUGGUCUGAGAGGAUGAUCAGCCACACUGGAACUGAGACACGGUCCAGACUCCUACGGGAGGCAGCAGUGGGGAAUAUUGGACAAUGGGCGCAAGCCUGAUCCAGCCAUACCGCGUGGGUGAAGAAGGCCUUCGGGUUGUAAAGCCCUUUUGUUGGGAAAGAAAUCCAGCUGGUUAAUACCCGGUUGGGAUGACGGUACCCAAAGAAUAAGCACCGGCUAACUUCGUGCCAGCAGCCGCCGCCG